CUGUUCCUGUGUGUCAUGGUACCUGUUCCUGAACUGUGACAUGUGGCCUGUUCCUACACCAGCCGUGCUCUCUGGAUUUGUUUUCUCAUUUGGAUCCUUCCCUGAUUUGACCCUUGCCUGCCUCAUGAUUCCUUUAUCUGCACUGCUGCAUGGACUGGACCAACAUUAGGAAACAGCCAGUAGGCUCAUGUGCCCUGGAGAGAAGACCCAAAGUUCACCCUGCCAUUCCUGUGAAACUACAUGUGCUAAACAUGGACUGUAUAUGGAGAAGAAAGAGAAAAGAAAAAGGAACAUUUCUCCAGCGGGGUGCUUUGUAUACUCAAGAUGGUUUUGGAAAGACACAGGCUUCAUUUGAUUUUCCCCUGCUGUUACAAACACUCAGGAUAAUGCUUACAAGAACAAAGAGCAUAUCUCGGGUCUCAAUAUCAGCAUAUGGUACUUUUUCAAAAAUGUAAGUUAUUUUGUUGAUUAAAAAAGUAUGUAGACUCUCAAAGAACGAACAAGAA